UACGUAGGGGGCGAGCGUUGUCCGGAUUUAUUGGGCGUAAAGAGCGUGUAGGCGGCCAGGUAGGUCUGCUGUGAAAACUCGAGGCUCAACCUCGAGACGUCGGCGGAAACCAUCUGGCUAGAGUCCGGAAGAGGAGAGUGGAAUUCCUGGUGUAGCGGUGAAAUGCGCAGAUAUCAGGAAGAACACCCGUGGCGAAGGCGGUUCUCUGGGACGGUACUGACGCUGAGACGCGAAAGCUAGGGGAGCAAACGGG
rnacentral:rRNA from 1 species